UGGGGAAUUUUGGACAAUGGGGGCAACCCUGAUCCAGCAAUGCCGCGUGUGUGAAGAAGGCCUUCGGGUUGUAAAGCACUUUUGUCCGGAAAGAAAACUUCGGGGCUAAUACCCCUGGAGGAUGACGGUACCGGAAGAAUAAGCACCGGCUAACUACGUGCCAGCAGCCGCGGUAAUACGUAGGGUGCGAGCGUUAAUCGGAAUUACUGGGCGUAAAGCGUGCGCAGGCGGGGCUGUAAGACCGGUGUGAAAUCCCCGGGCUUAACCUGGGAACUGCAUUGGUGACUGCAGCGCUGGAGUAUGGCAGAGGGGGGUGGAAUUCCACGUGUAGCAGUGAAAUGCGUAGAGAUGUGGAGGAACACCGAUGGCGAAGGCAGCCCCCUGGGCCAAUACUGACGCUCAUGCACGAGAGCGUGGGGAGCAAACAGG
rnacentral:rRNA from 1 species